UACGUAGGGGGCAAGCGUUGUCCGGAAUCUUUGGGCGUAAAGCGCGUGUAGGCGGUCCGGUAAGUCCGCUGUGAAAGUCGGGGGCUCAACCCUCGGAUGCCGGUGGAUACUGUCGGGCUUGAGUACGGAAGAGGCGAGUGGAAUUCCUGGUGUAGCGGUGAAAUGCGCAGAUAUCAGGAGGAACACCAAUUGCGAAGGCAGCUCGCUGGGACGUUACUGACGCUGAGACGCGAAAGCGUGGGGAGCAAACAGG
rnacentral:rRNA from 1 species